CUGGCGUCUGACCCCCAAAGCCACAUUCUCCUUGUCCUCAAGGAUGGGUUUCUGGCCCUUGGCAGCUUUGAGACAGAUUUGAGGUAUUUGAGGUUCCUUGGAAGCGCCAGUCAUGCCCUGGUAUUCUGUGUCCCGGGGGCCCCGAUGCUGAGCAUGGACAUCAGGCUGGUUCACAGUCGGUGACUGCAGCACCCUCACCAGCCUCGCAUAAAGCAGGAAUGUUUAGCCCUGUCUUAAGGGUUUGCUUGGGGAAGGAAAUGAUGGUGAGCAAGAUCUCAUGGACUUUUUCAUAAAGCUUACGUUUUAUAUUUUACAAUUUGUAUUGAAGCAUAAUGUGCAGAGUGAAAAGCACCAAUCUUGGGAGUUCAGCCAGACCUGCCUUGGAGAACCUUUCCCUCCACGUCUUCUGUCUGUGUUUUAGAGAACUGGAAAAUAGGCCACUUUAACAUGGUCUCUCCUACAAAGAGGUAAGAAGACCCAGCAGAAGGGCAGAAGAACUGGGAGUCUGGCCAGACCUCUGGAUGAAUGUCAGGGUUGUUGUUAUACCCAGGACUGUUGUCACCCUCUUGUCUCUGGACAUAGUGACAAGGGACAAGGCAAAGAGAGAGGGCCUGUGUUCUUGUGGACAUGUGGUUGGCAAGGUUCUGGCCAGAGUCGGAAGGGCCAGGACCCCACGUUCCUUCCUCCUAUGUUUGUAUCCCAUUCAAACCAAGAUUAAAAUUCUAAGCCCUCCAGCCAACUGAAUGGACGCCUCCUCUCAGCCCAAGGCAUUCUAGUGUUAACCUCAAACACUGGUUCAGGCCAUGAUGGGACGUGGGGAUCAGGAAUACCUCAUGAUAUCCUCCUCCCAUUGGAAUUCAGGCACAGCUGGCCAGCAUUAACAUUAAAACAGAG
rnacentral:lncRNA from 1 species